AAACAAAUGAUUUCGACUCAUUAAACUAUGAAUACAUCAUAAUUACCAA
rnacentral:tRNA from 1 species